UGCAUGCUGUCCCCUAGGGAGGACCUGCCCUGGCCAGUCUGACAUAAAAGGGCAGCUCUAGUCUGGCUUGGACUGAUCAGGGCUCCUCCGUUCACAGCUGACCAUGAGGUUCCCUGCUCAGCUCCUGGGGCUCCUCCUGCUCUGGGUCCCAGCCCCUCAACAUCUCUGAGGCCACAUGCUUUUCAACGGGGGAAGACCUGAUCUACCCAGAAAGGCCAGGUCAAGACUAUGGGCUCCCAGCCUCACCUUCUCUGCUUCCUGCUCCUCUGGAUCUCUGCCAGUACCAGUGCAGAAACAACAGUCACUCAAUCUCCAGCAUUUGUGUCAGCGACCCCAGGAGACAAAGUUAACAUCACCCGCAAAGCCAGCCAAGACAUUGAUGAUGAUAUCAUGUGCUAUCAACAGAAGCCAGGAGAAGCCCCUAAGCUCCUUAUUAAAUAUGCUUCCAUUCACAUCACUGGGGUUCCAACCCGGUUCAGUGGCAGUGGUUUCUUCUGCCUCCAUCGACAGAUGAUUGGAUUAGGAAGAUGUGGUAUAUAUACA